CCUACGGGAGGCAGCAGUGGGGAAUUUUGGACAAUGGGCGCAAGCCUGAUCCAGCCAUGCCGCGUGUGGGAAGAAGGCCUUCGGGUUGUAAACCACUUUUGUCAGGGAAGAAACGGUUUGUCCUAAUACGGCGGACUAAUGACGGUACCUGAAGAAUAAGCACCGGCUAACUACGUGCCAGCAGCCGCGGUAAUACGUAGGGUGCAAGCGUUAAUCGGAAUUACUGGGCGUAAAGCGUGCGCAGGCGGCUUUGCAAGACAGAUGUGAAAUCCCCGGGCUCAACCUGGGAACUGCAUUUGUGACUGCAUGGCUAGAGUACGGUAGAGGGGGAUGGAAUUCCGCGUGUAGCAGUGAAAUGCGUAGAUAUGCGGAGGAACACUGAUGGCGAAGGCAAUCCCCUGGACCUGUACUGACGCUCAUGCACGAAAGCGUGGGGAGCAAACAGGAUUAGAUACCCUGGUAGUCCACGCCCUAAACGAUGUCAACUGGUUGUUGGACGGCUUGCUGUUCAGUAACGAAGCUAACGNGUGAGUGACCGCGUGGGNGNGNGCGCGAGUAGACGUAGAAGAAGUAGAGCGNGAGAGNGCGAGGACGACGACGAGGGAGGAGG
rnacentral:rRNA from 1 species